CACUGACGCUGAGGCACGAAAGCGUGGGUAUCGAACAGGAUUAGAUACCCUGGUAGUCCACGCAGUAAACGAUGAUAACUAGUUUUCCGGUACGAUUGAGUACUGGGAGACCGAGCGAAAGCGUUAAGUUAUCCACCUGGGGAGUACGCCGGCAACGGUGAAACUCAAAGGAAUUGACGGGGGCCCGCACAAGCGGAGGAACAUGUGGUUUAAUUCGAUGAUACGCGAGGAACCUUACCCGGGCUCAAACGGCUAUGGACGCACUGUGAAAGCGGUGUUCCCUUCGGGGCUGUAGUCGAGGUGCUGCAUGGUUGUCGUCAGCUCGUGCCGUGAGGUGUCGGCUUAAGUGCCAUAACGAGCGCAACCCCCAUCUCCAGUUGCCAUCGAGUAAAGUUGGGCACUCUGGAGAGACUGCCGGCGCAAGCUGCGAGGAAGGCGGGGAUGACGUCAAAUCAGCACGGCCCUUACGUCCGGGGCGACACACGUGUUACAAUGGCGGGGCACAGCGGGGCGCCACAUGGCGACAUGGAGCCGAUCCCGAAAACCCGUCUCAGUUCGGAUCGGAGUCUGCAACUCGACUCCGUGAAGCUGGAUUCGCUA
rnacentral:rRNA from 1 species